rnacentral:rRNA from 1 species
GGAAAGGUGAAAAGUACCCCGGAAGGGGAGUGAAAGAGAACUUGAAACCGUGUGCUUACAAGUAGUCAGAGCCCGUUUAUGGGUGAUGGCGUGCCUUUUGUAGAAUGAACCGGCGAGUUACGAUCUGAUGCAAGGUUAAGCAGCGAAUGUGGAGCCGUAGCGAAAGCGAGUCUGAAUAGGGCGUUGAGUAUUUGGUCGUAGACCCGAAACCAGGUGAUCUACCCUUGGUCAGGUUGAAGUUCAGGUAACACUGAAUGGAGGACCGAACCGACUUACGUUGAAAAGUGAGCGGAUGAACUGAGGGUAGCGGAGAAAUUCCAAUCGAACUUGGAGAUAGCUGGUUCUCUCCGAAAUAGCUUUAGGGCUAGCCUCAAGUGAUGAUUAUUGGAGGUAGAGCACUGUUUGGACGAGGGGCCCCUCUCGGGUUACCGAAUUCAGACAAACUCCGAAUGCCAAUCAAUUUAACUUGGGAGUCAGAACAUGGGUGAUAAGGUCCGUGUUCGAAAGGGAAACAGCCCAGACCACCAGCUAAGGUCCCAAAAUAUAUGUUAAGUGGAAAAGGAUGUGGCGUUGCCCAGACAACUAGGAUGUUGGCUUAGAAGCAGCCAUCAUUUAAAGAGUGCGUAAUAGCUCACUAGUCGAGUGACACUGCGCCGAAAAUGUACCGGGGCUAAACAUAUUACCGAAGCUGUGGAUUGUCCUUCGGACAAUGGUAGGAGAGCGUUCUAAGGGCGUUGAAGCAUGAUCGCAAGGACAUGUGGAGCGCUUAGAAGUGAGAAUGCCGGUGUGAGUAGCGAAAGACGGGUGAGAAUCCCGUCCACCGAUUGACUAAGGUUUCCAGAGGAAGGCUCGUCCGCUCUGGGUUAGUCGGGUCCUAAGCUGAGGCCGACAGGCGUAGGCGAUGGAUAACAGGUUGAUAUUCCUGUACCACCUAGUAUCGUUUUAAUCGAUGGGGGGACGCAGUAGGAUAGGCGAAGCGUGCUGUUGGAGUGCACGUCCAAGCAGUAAGGCUGAGUGUUAGGCAAAUCCGGCACUCGUUAGGCUGAGCUGUGAUGGGGAGAGGAAAUUGUUUCCUCGAGUCGUUGAUUUCACACUGCCGAGAAAAGCCUCUAGAUAGAUAACAGGUGCCCGUACCGCAAACCGACACAGGUAGUCAAGAUGAGAAUUCUAAGGUGAGCGAGCGAACUCUCGUUAAGGAACUCGGCAAAAUGACCCCGUAACUUCGGGAGAAGGGGUGCUCUUUAGGGUUCACGCCCAGAAGAGCCGCAGUGAAUAGGCCCAAGCGACUGUUUAUCAAAAACACAGGUCUCUGCUAAACCGUAAGGUGAUGUAUAGGGGCUGACGCCUGCCCGGUGCUGGAAGGUUAAGAGGAGUGGUUAGCUUCUGCGAAGCCACGAAUCGAAGCCCC